AUUGAACGCUGGCGGAAGGCCUAACACAUGCAAGUCGAGCGGAGCGGCGGACGGGCGAGUAAUGCCUAGGAAUCUGCCCGGUAGUGGGGGAUAACGUCCGGAAACGGGCUCUAAUACCGCAUACUAUCAGAUGAGCCUAGGUCGGAUUAGCUAGUUGGUGGGUGAAAGGCCUACCAAGGCGACGAUCCGUAACUGGUCUGAGAGGAUGAUCAGUCACACUGGAACUGAUACACGGUCCAGACUCCUACGGGAGGCAGCAGUGGUGAAUAGGGGACAAUGGGCGAAAGCCUGAUCCAGCCAUGCCGCGUGUGUGAAGAAGGUCUUCGGAUUGUAAAGCACGUUAAGUUGGGAGGCGUUACCAACAGAAUAAGCACCGGCUAACGUCGUGCCAGCCGCCGCGGUAAUUC
rnacentral:rRNA from 1 species